rnacentral:rRNA from 1 species
GACGAACGCUGGCGGCGUGCUUAACACAUGCCAGUCGAACGGAAAGGCCCUGCUUUUGUGGGGUGCUCGAGUGGCGAACGGGUGAGUAACACGUGAGUAACCUGCCCUUGACUUUGGGAUAACUUCAGGAAACUGGGGCUAAUACCGGAUAGGAGCUCCUGCUGCAUGGUGGGGGUUGGAAAGUUUCGGCGGUUGGGGAUGGACUCGCGGCUUAUCAGCUUGUUGGUGGGGUAGUGGCUUACCAAGGCUUUGACGGGCAGCCGGCCUGAGAGGGUGACCGGCCACAUUGGGACUGCGAUAGGGCCCAGACUCCUACGGGAGGCAGCAGUGGGGAAUAUUGCACAAUGGGAGGAAGCCUGAUGCAGCAACGCCGCGUGCGGGAUGACGGCCUUCGGGUUGUAAACCGCUUUCGCCUGUGACGAAGCGUGAGUGACGGUAAUGGGUAAAGAAGCACCGGCUAACUACGUG